rnacentral:rRNA from 1 species
GGUUAAGCGACUAAGCGUACACGGUGGAUGCCCUGGCAGUCAGAGGCGAUGAAGGACGUGCUAAUCUGCGAUAAGCGUCGGUAAGGUGAUAUGAACCGUUAUAACCGGCGAUUUCCGAAUGGGGAAACCCAGUGUGAUUCGUCACACUAUCAUUAACUGAAUCCAUAGGUUAAUGAGGCGAACCGGGGGAACUGAAACAUCUAAGUACCCCGAGGAAAAGAAAUCAACCGAGAUUCCCCCAGUAGCGGCGAGCGAACGGGGAGGAGCCCAGAGCCUGAAUCAGUGUGUGUGUUAGUGGAAGCGUCUGGAAAGGCGCGCGAUACAGGGUGACAGCCCCGUACACAAAAAUGCACAUACUGUGAGCUCGAUGAGUAGGGCGGGACACGUGGUAUCCUGUCUGAAUAUGGGGGGACCAUCCUCCAAGGCUAAAUACUCCUGACUGACCGAUAGUGAACCAGUACCGUGAGGGAAAGGCGAAAAGAACCCCGGCGAGGGGAGUGAAAAAGAACCUGAAACCGUGUACGUACAAGCAGUGGGAGCACAGAGCAAUCUGUGUGACUGCGUACCUUUUGUAUAAUGGGUCAGCGACUUAUAUUCUGUAGCAAGGUUAACCGAAUAGGGGAGCCGAAGGGAAACCGAGUCUUAACCGGGCGUUAAGUUGCAGGGUAUAGACCCGAAACCCGGUGAUCUAGCCAUGGGCAGGUUGAAGGUUGGGUAACACUAACUGGAGGACCGAACCGACUAAUGUUGAAAAAUUAGCGGAUGACUUGUGGCUGGGGGUGAAAGGCCAAUCAAACCGGGAGAUAGCUGGUUCUCCCCGAAAGCUAUUUAGGUAGCGCCUCGUGAAUUCAUCUCCGGGGGUAGAGCACUGUUUCGGCAAGGGGGUCAUCCCGACUUACCAACCCGAUGCAAACUGCGAAUACCGGAGAAUGUUAUCACGGGAGACACACGGCGGGUGCUAACGUCCGUCGUGAAGAGGGAAACAACCCAGACCGCCAGCUAAGGUCCCAAAGUCAUGGUUAAGUGGGAAACGAUGUGGGAAGGCCCAGACAGCCAGGAUGUUGGCUUAGAAGCAGCCAUCAUUUAAAGAAAGCGUAAUAGCUCACUGGUCGAGUCGGCCUGCGCGGAAGAUGUAACGGGGCUAAACCAUGCACCGAAGCUGCGGCAGCGACACUGUGUGUUGUUGGGUAGGGGAGCGUUCUGUAAGCCUGUGAAGGUGUGCUGUGAGGCAUGCUGGAGGUAUCAGAAGUGCGAAUGCUGACAUAAGUAACGAUAAAGCGGGUGAAAAGCCCGCUCGCCGGAAGACCAAGGGUUCCUGUCCAACGUUAAUCGGGGCAGGGUGAGUCGACCCCUAAGGCGAGGCCGAAAGGCGUAGUCGAUGGGAAACAGGUUAAUAUUCCUGUACUUGGUGUUACUGCGAAGGGGGGACGGAGAAGGCUAUGUUGGCCGGGCGACGGUUGUCCCGGUUUAAGCGUGUAGGCUGGUUUUCCAGGCAAAUCCGGAAAAUCAAGGCUGAGGCGUGAUGACGAGGCACUACGGUGCUGAAGCAACAAAUGCCCUGCUUCCAGGAAAAGCCUCUAAGCAUCAGGUAACAUCAAAUCGUACCCCAAACCGACACAGGUGGUCAGGUAGAGAAUACCAAGGCGCUUGAGAGAACUCGGGUGAAGGAACUAGGCAAAAUGGUGCCGUAACUUCGGGAGAAGGCACGCUGAUAUGUAGGUGAAGUCCCUCGCGGAUGGAGCUGAAAUCAGUCGAAGAUACCAGCUGGCUGCAACUGUUUAUUAAAAACACAGCACUGUGCAAACACGAAAGUGGACGUAUACGGUGUGACGCCUGCCCGGUGCCGGAAGGUUAAUUGAUGGGGUCAGCGCAAGCGAAGCUCUUGAUCGAAGCCCCGGUAAACGGCGGCCGUAACUAUAACGGUCCUAAGGUAGCGAAAUUCCUUGUCGGGUAAGUUCCGACCUGCACGAAUGGCGUAAUGAUGGCCAGGCUGUCUCCACCCGAGACUCAGUGAAAUUGAACUCGCUGUGAAGAUGCAGUGUACCCGCGGCAAGACGGAAAGACCCCGUGAACCUUUACUAUAGCUUGACACUGAACAUUGAGCCUUGAUGUGUAGGAUAGGUGGGAGGCUUUGAAGUGUGGACGCCAGUCUGCAUGGAGCCGACCUUGAAAUACCACCCUUUAAUGUUUGAUGUUCUAACGUGGACCCGUGAUCCGGGUUGCGGACAGUGUCUGGUGGGUAGUUUGACUGGGGCGGUCUCCUCCUAAAGAGUAACGGAGGAGCACGAAGGUUGGCUAAUCCUGGUCGGACAUCAGGAGGUUAGUGCAAUGGCAUAAGCCAGCUUGACUGCGAGCGUGACGGCGCGAGCAGGUGCGAAAGCAGGUCAUAGUGAUCCGGUGGUUCUGAAUGGAAGGGCCAUCGCUCAACGGAUAAAAGGUACUCCGGGGAUAACAGGCUGAUACCGCCCAAGAGUUCAUAUCGACGGCGGUGUUUGGCACCUCGAUGUCGGCUCAUCACAUCCUGGGGCUGAAGUAGGUCCCAAGGGUAUGGCUGUUCGCCAUUUAAAGUGGUACGCGAGCUGGGUUUAGAACGUCGUGAGACAGUUCGGUCCCUAUCUGCCGUGGGCGCUGGAGAACUGAGGGGGGCUGCUCCUAGUACGAGAGGACCGGAGUGGACGCAUCACUGGUGUUCGGGUUGUCAUGCCAAUGGCACUGCCCGGUAGCUAAAUGCGGAAGAGAUAAGUGCUGAAAGCAUCUAAGCACGAAACUUGCCCCGAGAUGAGUUCUCCCUGACCCUUUAAGGGUCCUGAAGGAACGUUGAAGACGACGACGUUGAUAGGCCGGGUGUGUAAGCGCAGCGAUGCGUUGAGCUAACCGGUACUAAUGAACCGUGAGGCUUAACCUUACAACGCCGAAGGUGUUUUG